AUGCGCAGGCGUCGUCGGUCGCAGCGUCAUUGUCGUUUUCCCCACAGUAUGACGAACUAUCGCGCGCUCAGCCGACUCAUUUUCAGUUUAAUUUGUGUAUUUACAUAGUGCUGUUGACGAUUGAACUCCUGUAGAAUAAUAAACUAAUGUUUUACAUUCUACGUAGACACAAGUAAAAGAAAUAUCAAGAUGGGCAUCUGCUUUUCUUUCGACUGUGGGGACUGCGAUAUCUGUUGCAACCCGUGUUGUAUGGCGUUGAGUGCGUGCUGUCUGAUCCCUUGCUUGUGUCCAAACGCGUGUGGUCAGCAGCAACAACCGCCGCAGACAGUGGUGGUCCACCAGCCACCAGUGGUGGUCGAGCAGCCUCCGCCCCCGCCAGGAUACUACGGGCCGCCCCCGCCGGGUGCCUACCCAGGCUACCAACCAGGAUACCCACCCCCACACGGCUACCCCCACCCACAACCAGGCUACCAGCAGUACCCUGACUAUUCAGUAGCAAGAUAAUCUCUAGUUAAGAAUGGGUUGUAACAUCUCGUGCCGUCCUUGUUGCUGCUGCUGUAUUCCGUGCCUGUGCUGCGACUGCUGCGGCGACCCCCCUGAGCGGCACGUCCACCACCAUCAUGUCACUACCGUCCAGCAACCACCUGUAAUUGUCAACCAGCCACCACCACCGUACAGAUAAAUUAUGAUAACUUCAAGACGGCACUACACUGUUGGCCUUGAGCGCGGUUUUUCGACGUACUUACAUAUGCAUUGCUUGGUACAUAUAGUGAGCUUUGGAACAUUACAAAGAAAAACUAAUCAAGGUACGUCGAUUAGCCAUUAUGGCCGACGUGUAUCCAUACAUCAAGUUAUCCAUUGCCCCGACUGUAAUAUUUUUUAUUAGCCUAUGGUAGAAAGAUGGCCAGGCUUUGCUCUGUAGUGGGACACACCUACAAGCUAAAAAAACAAUAGUAUUCCACUACUAGGAUUCAUAUCGUAUAAAAUGACCUAAAAUAAGUAGCUUCAAAAAUUAAGAUAAAUUCCGAAAUUAUAUAUAAUUAUUUUCUGGUACGAGGAGUAUCUACUUAUUUUUUGUUAAAAAAAUAAGGCAAACAUAUGAUUACUCUGUUCAUAUGUAUACUUGCACGCAGUCAAAAAUUGGUAUGUAACAAAAGCUCAAAGAGUUUACGUUUUAAGGAAUGCAUAUAGGAGUUUACGUUUUAAGACUGUAAAUCGAUAAAUAAAUUUAAAAUGUUUUUCACUUAUUAACUAAGACUUUUUAACAUUCUUCUAAAAUCUGAAUAUGUUAUUCUAUUGUUUUUAUCUAAUAAAAUCUUGUUGGCGCAAAACGGACAGGCAAAGGAAUAUACAUAGAUAUAAUGUACGAUACCGAUGAGAACUUAUUAUAAUGUUCAACUAAUUUUUCAGACAUGUUUUUGUUCUAUAAAAGUGUGGAGAAAUCAUGAUGUAAAAGUCCAACUAGUAACGGGUUACCCAGGAUUGCAUGAAUAUAGUCAUUAAUAUUUUUGUCGUCAGGGUGUAAAUAUGUAUUUCUGACUUUUGUUCUAGUUAUUUUUUGGCAAAUUCUUCUGUUAAUUGAUCGUUAGGCAUAAAGAGUGUGUUAUGUUAUUUAGGUAAUUUUUAAUGUAAAUUUUGUAAUAUUUCAAGUAUAAGGAUACACAGCUUUGACCAUUGUUAUAUCUAUAUAAUGUCUUAUUUGUGCUCCUAAUUAUUAUAGCUACCUACAUCAUAUAUAGUUUUAGGACAUAAAAUAAAUACAAAUUAAAAUACAGGUUACUAGACUUGUCAGGAGGUCUGGUAUUUAAUCUUAAGUACAUAAAUGAAUAUAUACUACCUUUAUUGAAAUUUAUUGUACAUGCUAGAUUUAAGUAGUAAUUUAAGAUGUAUGUAGCCUAUUGUGUGUGAUGCACGAUUAGCUGGUAUGCAUUUUGUAAAGUAUAUAACGAAAUAAAUAUUUUAAAUACCUAUAUCUAGUGUAUUAUAAGUCAAACGUUGCGUUUGUAUUCUUGACCCCUUUACGAACAAAUAAAAAAAAAAUAGAAAAUUUGAAAAUAGAAUGCUAGGCUGUGAUUAUACAACUAACACGCUUAACUUUCAAAUUCAUGGAAUGAUAUAUAGUAUAGAAUGGUCUUAUACUAAAGCGCUUCAAUAUAUUGUGGUUUUCGGUAAUAUAUUUUCCGGGUGCUUCUUUUAAAGCAGGAAUAACUGUAUUAGCAGCUCUCUCUUUCUCAUCUGAGGGUUGUCCGGUUAACUCUUCAGUCCUUGAACGUCGGAGCCUAGAGUCACUUCACACGGUCGCCGCUAUAUUAUUUCAUUACUUAAUAAACAUCAAUUAUAAAUCGAUCAGGGUAAAACAGACCAAGGCUCUCUAAUCUCUCUCUAUCUCGUAAACCGUAAACAAAGAAAACACAUUAUAAUUCCAUAAAAAAGUAAAUUCUUUGAUUUUAAAUUAUGUUCAGAAACAAGGCGAUAAAUCAAACCUCGAAAACGAAAUAAAAGCAAUUACCUACUUAGUUCUUAUCAUAAUAAAAUCUCGUCAAGUAUCGAACACGACAUUAUUCACACUGUUCGGGGCAAUGUAAUAAAUAAGGAAGAUUUAUAGCUAUAUAUUAUUUAUUUCGCUUAAAAUGGUAUAUUCAAAGCGGGCAUUAUCAAUAAUGUCUUAAUUACUUGGUUAAUAACAUAGACGGUUAACCUGGAAUAAUAGGGACUUUUUAUCCUGAAAUCCCUACUAAGCAUUGAGGCGCAGCUAAUAAUGUAUCUUUUACUUAUAAGAAUAAUAAAAACAUGGUUGGUAACACGGUAGCCAUGUCUUCCCAAAGGGACAUUGAAAUAAACCUGUGAUGCGUAUGGACAACUCGUUUUCAAUUGUUUUUUACUCAAUCCGUCCACACAAAUGUUUUCGACGACCUUACUGUGCUAUUGUUGCAAGCAAGAAUCAAUUUGAAGCAGGCGCACGUAGCGGACGCAUCAAUUUAACAAGUGAAAUUCGUGAACAAACCGUUUUCCAAUCCAUUGAUAACUACCACAGUUGAUAAGAGAUAUCUACCGUUGUUUUUACCAAAUAUAUACCGAUUAUGUGUGUGCCUAGUGUCUAUGGUGAAGCAGUUAUUUAGGAUGGGUUUCAAAAUAACAGUGAGACCUUUCUGUUGCUGCUUCGUCCCCUGCAUUUGCUGCAAGUGCGUCUGCGAGUCCGAUGACAGCGAGUUCCCUCGCGUGUCUGCGGUCAGCCGUCCCGUCACAGAGCCACCCCCGGCCUACGGCGACGUGCCCCUGAAGACCGAUUUUCCUCCACCUUACUCAGAAACGCCUGAAAGAAGUGAUGAUAAAUGAUUUUCGAGUCUGAUGGAUGGGAGCAUGUUUUGAUGUUUAUCGUGUUGCGGUAACCCUCCUAAGCACCUCGGCCCGGGCGAACCUUCCCACCGUGGACCCUCUCACCAUGGACCUCUCCAUCUCGGACGUCCUGGGCUCCAUGGACCUGGACCAGGUCAAUGAAAAAAUGAAGCCUCAUUUCCUUUUUUUUUACAAAUUAUAAAGUCAGUCUUGUGUUGUGUCGAAUUUCACAUGCUUUUAAGUUAGGUGUUAAAUGGAAGUACUAAUAGAACUUUAUGAAAAAUUAAAUAUGUGUUAUAAUAAAAAGUAAAUACUACAA